rnacentral:snoRNA from 1 species
CCAUCUUACAUCAUUUGAAUAAAUACUUUUAAUGUCUUUGGACACGUAAGAAUUGGAGGCAAAAAAAAUUGUGGAUUUGGAGACAACCAGGGCCAGCGCGCUCCCGCAGGCUCAAGAUCAACCAUCUCGCAUAA